UACGUAGGGGGCAAGCGUUGUCCGGAAUUAUUGGGCGUAAAGAGCGCGUAGGCGGUCCGGUAAGUCGGCUGUGAAAGUCAAGGGCUCAACCCUUGAAUGCCGGUUGAUACUGUCGGGCUAGAGUCCGGAAGAGGCGAGUGGAAUUCCCGGUGUAGCGGUGAAAUGCGCAGAUAUCGGGAGGAACACCAAUGGCGAAGGCAGCUCGCUGGGACGGUACUGACGCUGAGACGCGAAAGCGUGGGGAGCAAACAGG
rnacentral:rRNA from 1 species